rnacentral:lncRNA from 9 species
AAGAUGGAAUUCAGCUUGAAGAGCCUCCUGGGCUUCAUCAGAGAGAUCAUUGAAAAACCAGAGGGCUUCUAGGCGGUAGCAUUUCCUGAUAUAUGCAGUGCACCCUGCAGAACUGGACUUGAAAGGCAAAGAAGGCAGACAGGUGUCUCUGUCACUGGAAUGUUCUUGAACCCACAUCCAUGGGAGUUUUCCCUAAUGCUGUCCAUGCUUUGAAGUAGUGUUUAAUUGCCCCCUACUCUGUGAGGAGGCAUCGGGGAAGUACCGUUUCAUGGUAGCCUGGGACCCAGCUGCACGCUCCAGGGUCCAGGCCAGUCCAGGAGGUCCCCAGGCCUUGGAACCCUGGAGUUUCCCAGAACUUCUUGGCUGUCUUCCUGCUGAAUCCACAGUCCCCUUCUUGCAGAACGACAGAGCACAGGUUCAGAUUCUCCGUAGGGACCCUGUGCCUUUCCCACUGGGCUGACUCGCUUCGCCAUGGUGGAGCUUUAUAAGACCUGGCAAGAUAAGGGCUCCCGCAGUCUAGCCUCAGCUGGCAGAGAGCCUCCCAGCUCUUGGUUCUGCAAGUUACUGACCUGGGAGCCCCAUCACGGGGACUCCAAGCAGAUGUCCUAGCUUGGGUGCUGCUGAGAGCUUGUAAACAGGUGUACCUGCCUUGCUGGAAUGACCCAGGCAUUUGAAGUCACCGACUCAGACCACAACGGAAGAGAAGAAUAAUUUAUCUCACGAGCGCAGUAAAUGCAGUCCGAUGUCUUGAACGUAAGCCAUCGAUCAUUCUUUAAAGUAGAGGAGAUGUGUGUCAGCAGAGAAACGGUCUCUCUUAUGAGGCACAAAUUCCACGAAUGUGUGUACUAUUGAUUCUCCGUCAAAGACGCCACGUUCCUAUCUGCGGGACGUCGAUGUGUCCAGCCAAGCCCUCGCCUCUGAGAUAAUUGCACGUGACACUUGGGCAUCUACAUCCUGAAGCCUUGGCGCCCAAGUUUCUACUCCCCCUAAGGUGAGGAGGGCAGCCUGCAGCCCCCACAAUGAGACCCGCUUCUUUCUGCCCGUUCAUGGAGUGACUCGGAGGCCAGAGAGCUGAUUUGCCGAAGGACCACUUGGUAGAGAGCCUCUGGGUGGAUAGCUGCGCAGAUGCCAUUGGAUCACCUUCUCCAUCGCUAGUUAGCCAUGAGGCAACCUGUGAUCAUCCAGCCAGGACAUGCCAGACACUCAGACGCCAGCCAGCAUCAGAGCUGUCCCUCACCCUCAAGAGCCCUCACGUCACGUCCACUAUUUUCCUGCAGAAAGACGGUUCAGCAUCCCGGCUCUCACUUGCAGGACUCUCAGACGUGGCUUUUCCCAGGACGUCACUUACUGCUCUCAGAAAAAUGCGGGUGGCUGUUGGAAGGAGCGCUGCAAAGGAGGUGGAGUGAGGCUGGGGGCUGUGGAUGGAUGUCCUCAAGAAGGCUGGACAGGCAUGGACUGUGCAGACCCCAAGGCAGUGGACGAAGCAGGCUGGCAUCCAGGAACCCCACGUGAGGCUCCCGCAGCAGAGAGGCUCUUCACGUUUCUCAAGACACGUUGGCGGAUUCUCGAAUGGAUGUUGGAGCAGCCAUCACGUCAUUGCCAAGCUCCGUCUCACUGAGAGGCCCACACAGAAACGAGAUGAUCUUUGCCUUAAGGAUUCUGGAGAGUGUCAUCAAUGGGUUUCUCCUUUGGGUUCUACUCACCGUGACAGAAUGGGGGCCGGAAGAGGCUUUCUUGCAACUUUGAGGGUGUUUGCUGCACGUCAGAAUUGUGUAAGUGUAGGGACACCUUCUGGAGGCAGUGCCACUGCUCGUUUACUCAGUGGUUAUGGAGCGCAGCACCUGCCAACUGCUGGGAGCCGUCAAACGCGGGGGCGGGGGCGGGGGCAGAUACUGCUGUGA